UGGGGAAUAUUGCACAAUGGGCGAAAGCCUGAUGCAGCAACGCCGCGUGAGUGAUGAAGGCCUUCGGGUUGUAAAGCUCUGUCUUUUGGGACGAUAAUGACGGUACCAAAGGAGGAAGCCACGGCUAACUACGUGCCAGCAGCCGCGGUAAUACGUAGGUGGCAAGCGUUGUCCGGAUUUACUGGGCGUAAAGGAUGCGUAGGCGGAUUUUUCAAGUGAGAUGUGAAAUACCCGGGCUUAACUUGGGUGCUGCAUUUCAAACUGGGAAUCUAGAGUGCGGGAGAGGAGAAUGGAAUUCCUAGUGUAGCGGUGAAAUGCGUAGAGAUUAGGAAGAACACCAGUGGCGAAGGCGAUUCUCUGGACCGUAACUGACGCUGAGGCAUGAAAGCGUGGGUAGCAAAAUCAGGAUUAGAUACCCUGGUAGUCCACGCCGUAAACGAUGAGUACUAGGUGUAGGAGGUAUCGACCCCUUCUGUGCCGCAGUUAACACAAUAAGUACUCCGCCUGGGAAGUACGAUCGCAAGA
rnacentral:rRNA from 1 species